GCCGGGGUGCCCGAGCGGACUAAGGGGGUAGGCUCGAGACCUACUGUCCGAAAGGACACGCGGGUUCAAAUCCCGCCCCCGGCG
rnacentral:tRNA from 2 species